UUUUAUGUCCGUGUUUUCCAGGCUAAAAGUGCUUUUAAAUCGGUAGUUCUCAAAUUGGGUGCUUGGGUUCUGCUGGUUGGUUUCUGCCAUUUUCCAUACCACUUAUUAGCGUCGUUGGUGUGCUGAAGCCUAUUUUAGUUUAAAAAGAAACAAUUUUUUUUAGGCGUGAACACACAACUUUGUUGAUGUCUAUUCAAAAACGGCCCUUCUCCAACUGGGGUCAUCAGGGGCUGUUGCCUUGUGGUGCUUAACACUAGAUUAUUAUUAUUCUGCGCGAUAUUUUAGAAAAAAAAAAGAGUGGACACCUAAACAAAAGUACAAAAGUUGACUGGUGCUGGUAAGAGAGAGCACAUAACUCCUACCCUGGCAUGAGAUCCAAUUAAUUGUUUUCAAAUCAUUACAUGGCAUGGCCCCACCUUAACUCUCAGAACUCCUCCGCCCCAAUGCGACCGCCUGCUGGCUCAGGUUUGCGGACCAGACAUUAUUAGAGGCACCGAGAAUUAAGCGGAGGCCCAGAGGGAAAUCGAGCUUUUUCCUUUACUGGUCCCUCUCUUUGGAAUGACUUCCCACUUGUUAAUGUUCAUGUUUGCAAGGCUUGAAGCGGCGUUUUAAAAUAGUGAGUCUCAAAUGGGGGUCCCCACGGGGGAUCCGAAAGUCCACUCGGGGGUCUCAGAUAUGAUGAGCAAUAACUUUUUAUGUUGCGUGAGUUUUGAAAGUGCAAAUUGGGGACCUGUCGCGCCAAUAAAAGCAACAGGAGAAAACCACUAACACCAACGCUUGGGGAUAAUUAAGUUUUGAUUGUGAUCCUCCAUGAGUACCCAAUCCCCAUACCUGAUUUCGAUACGCGCUCAUUCCCAAUUUUAAAUUACGAGACCAUAAAAUGUGUCUUCGAGGUCUGUAUUAUGAUACUCUCCCGCGAUUUAAAAAAACAAAACCCACAACCGCUUCAUCUGUGCGACGAUGGCGGCGCCAUAUGCUGAUCAAAAUUGCUUUUGAAAGGAUUAUGGUGGUGGUUGGCGGGAGGCUACUUUGAUUAACCCCACCACCAAAUCUUAAUUGGGGGAGAUUAAAUCGACAUCCUGAAAUGGGAAUUGUCGCUGAAGGUAGCAACAAAUGAGGAGGAAUAAAAAAAAAAGCAUGCGAGCUUGCACCAGGGAAACCUUAAUCCCCAUAGACACGCAUGCACGCACGCACAUGCACACGCAUAUUUUUAACACCGUUUAGCUGUCUUUACGUAACAUCAUUAUUAUAUACCCCCCCUCCUCACCCCCUAAACUGCUGCAUGGCUCACAGUGCUGUACAUCAUGCGACGUAUUUGCACCUCCAGCCACGUCACCAAUUUUUAAUUUUUUUAUUUUUGCCAGUUAGAAGACAACUAAACUAAACUCCGCCCCCUCCCCCCCAAAAAAAGUCAUUGUCAAAGAUCAGUUACAAUAUAUGCCUGCGAGUGUUGUUGUGUGCUUCUCCUUCCGUGUUAAAGUAGCCAGUGGCUAAAUCGCAAUGCGAACGAUGAACCGUGAUGUGGUGGUGGUGGUGGUGGGGGGGGGGGGGACGCUAUGAACUUUAAUUAAUAACUAUUAUUGGUAGACGACAGUGAGAAAGAAAGAUCCCCCAGCCUCAUUGUAGGUUGGUGGAUCUUGGGUCGGAUGAGUCAUUGGAAGUGUGGGGGUGAGGGGGGUUCUUGCCUGGGAAACCUUAAAGGGGGGCUGGGUUGUCUCAAAAGAAGUUUCAGGGAGGAGGUCGGGGGGGGGGGGGGUGAGAGGGGGCCGCUGUCCACGUAAUUGAAUUUCUGUCGAGACCCCAUCCCAACCCAUUCUUGAGCCGUCCGGCUUGUGUGUUUUUAUUGCACACCGUGUGUGUGUGUGUGUGUGCGUGUGGUUCAGGCAUCUGUUGUCAGAUGACAAAAAGAGCAGAACGUUGUCGGUUAUAACUUCAAAUUACAGCCACUGAGGACCCCCCCCCCCCCCCCCCCCCACCUCUUGACUUGGAUUGUGACAGCUUUUGUGUCUUUAUGUUUUAGUCCAAUCUCAAUGUAAUUACCCUCUCGACUGGAUGAAUUAGUUCUUGAUUAUUGGUCUGAAUGUUUUAAUGACCGGUUUGAACUUGUUUCCACUGGUUCUUGACUUUGUUUGGAGCAUUCAAAACACCCGAGACCGGACAGUAGUUGUUCUUAGUUUUCCGUCUUGGUGGAGUCACGGUUCACCCGGCUGACACACAAGCCAGGUUGAAAUGAGUCCCCGAAUCAAGUGACUGGGGAAUCGCCCGUUUUUCAAACAGACUUCCUGAGCAGCCAGCAAGCGAUAUAUGAGGUGCUUGCCACCCUUGGGAGAAUUCUCUGCUUCCUUGAUUUCCACUUUGCUUCUCUCUUUCGCCCUCGGGGAGAGACGUGACCUAAAAGCUCUCAAUGAAACCGUAGAAGCGGCUCUCCCGGUCGGCCACCGACGUGGCCGCUUUUGAUGCGCUAGUAACCAAUUAGUCCUUCAUGUUUCUGGGUCGUUGCGGUCGGGGAACAUUUGGAGCAUUUUGCCGGCGUUUGUUCAUAUCUGCUGUGAGUUCACCGUCAAUUUAACAACAAAAGGGGACCUGAGACCUGUCACACAUGUUCUAUGAACAGGUCGACAGGUUGCUAAAGGGCUAAUGACACAAUAGCUUUGGUUUCCUCGUGAUUGCGCUUUCAGUUCAUUGUGCGUCUAAAUGUUGUCUAGCCGGAAUUGGAUGUUUGUGUUGCUCAUAUCCUGCGCCCGGUCUCGUAACCUGCCGUAGACAAAGCGAGAGCAGCCAGAUUGGGUUUCGCUUGAGGACUCUCUGGCUCGCGUCGAACCGGCGGCCCGCCGUUGCUGGCUGAUAAUGUGGAUUCCCAAAAAAAAAAAAAAAAGGUACACGCACUCAUUCACACGCGCGCACACAAAAAGCCCUGCGGGGGAAACUCUCAGCUGUGUACUGUCAAUGAAAAGCUAGCCCGUCAGGAUGUCCCACAUUCCUGCACCAACAAAAGAGGGCGGCGUGUCAUCCUGGCGGCGCGACAGACUCCACACAAACAGGAAAGUGGAAAAACCAAAGGGAAAAAUGGAUUAGAGUAACGUUUCCGUGCAUAUUCGCUAUUUUUGCCUAUACAGUGGUACCUCUACUUGCGCGAUUAAUUGGUUCUGGAAGAAAUUGAUCUUGAAAAUUUUCUAAGUAGAGACGCGUUUUCCAUGUAAAUGCCCUAAUCCGUUCCAAAUUCAGACAUGAGUGUUUUCUGAAGCAUAAAAAUGCAUUAAAAUAUGUUACAAAUAGAUUAUUACCCAGUAAAUGAGAGUUGUGCGUAAUUUAAAAAUAAAGAAAAAAAAAUGAUGGUCAUUUAAAUUAACUUUUAAUUAACUGCGUCCUCAUUGUUUUUUGCCCUCUUUAGUUCAUGCUUUUGUCGGCUUUUAACAAUCCUCCAAAAAUGUCCAAGGCAAACAUCGGCCGAGUGUGCGAUUGCCCAACUGGUGAACACUUUUUCUUUUACAUUUACGUAAAAUUAUCGGAACGCCUCCUGGGCGAAUGACAUGGAUGAUGCUCACGAAUAGCCAAUGGCAGAGCAGCUCGAAGUAUGUUGCAUUCAGGAAACUCUGAACCGCGAAUAGCAGCCCAUACUGUAUUUUUACCUUUGGUAUCUUGAAAUUUCUUUCGUAACGAGGCAAUUUUUUUUUUCCCCGUUGAGGCGUUUCGUAACUUGAACAUUUCGUAUGAAGAAGCGUUCGUAAGUAGAGGUACCACUGUGCGUUUAUCGCCCCUCUUAGCCACAGUGUCGCACCAUCCCUGCCCUGUAUUUACUUGCCACCAGUUCCUUUUCAGGCGGCACUUUAAUAGGGUAGGACAUUUAGUUUCUAAAAACCCCGAACCCAUGAAUUUGUGAAUUAUAAACUGCGAAUCAUGAGGGCGGGGAUUACUCUCUCCCCAAUCUUUUCCCUCCCAGUCUGCAUUCAUCUGUCUGGAUUCCCGUCAACCUGCUGUCUGAGCCGCCUCACCCCCCCCCCCCCCCCCCCCCAAGAAAAAAACUCAGCGUCAGCCGGCAGAAUGCGGUGAGAGAUUUGGCUCCGCCGUUUGAUGUUAUUCCAGGACUUGUAUCGGGAAAAUGCGUUCCGCAAGUCCUGCACGCUUUGUCUGGUGUGUCGGGAUACGUCCAAAAUUUCCCACUCUGCUUCAAAUCAAUUCCUGUGGCCUUGUUGCGGGCGACUGGAGGGCCCGCUCAGUCGCCGGGGCAACGGCAAUGAUCAUUGGGGCGAGGGGACGAGAGGGCCCGGCUGGCCUCGGAAUCACUGAAGCGGGAGUAAGGCUCGGCCGGGGGGGAGUCGGGCUGGUGGGGUGGGAGUGUCCACCCGCACGGAAUGAUGCCGGGCUCACUUAGGUCAGCUCUUUGUUUUGAUGAAACCGCUAAAAACAAACACGAGGGGGUUCGCUCAUUCUCACCAGUCGUUUGAUGCGGAACUUUUCUCCUCAUUAGUUGGUGACCGUAAAUAAAGCCUUCUUUUAUGGAGACAAUAGAUCGCUCUUUUGACAUGUUCCAAGAUAAAACUUCCCGGGAAACAUUCAUGAAACUUUCUCAUCACAGAAUGUUUUCACACUGACAGCAUUUGACUACUUUUCGGGGCGGAGUUUAUAAAUGACUUUGGCUAUGCGUAACCAGAGAUUAGGUAACAAAUCCCUAAUAGGGCGAAUGGUAGCAUCCAGUUGCUUGCAUUAGCGAGACCCUUAACCACUAUUCGCCAGGGGAUAUGCCGACUCUCGCCCAAGGUCACUUGCGAUAGACUCCAGGUACCCGCUACGCUAAUGUAAUAAAAAAAAAAUCAGUAUAGAAAAUUGAUGCAUAGACUAUUUCCUGACCGUGGACUUGUACGGUUGACUCGAAUGGUUGAGUAUCGCCUGCCUUGUAUUUGUCUUUGAGUGGGUGACAAGGUGCUCCGUUGCCCUCCAGCACGUAUUGAUUUAUGUGGCCCAUUUAUAAAAAAAUCUGAUUAAGAUGCAAACCUGACAUGUGGGAUCAGGUCGGGAACGCCAAAGAGCUGAGGGGAAAAAAAAAAUACACCUGGGGGUACACGAUCAGCACUUCAGUUCUGUCUACGCAACAGAUCCCGCGACCUUGGACGGUCCCAAGCUGCUAAAAGUCAGCAACUCGGCGACAGGGCAAUUCCUCAUCAGCAAACCGGGAGUCAUUUGACAUUCGUCUGGAUUUUCUGCCUGUCAGCUCUUGGACUUUGUCACUUCGGAGUCAGCAAAUUUCUUCAACUUGCUUACCUGUGUACUAGUUAAGUGGUCCCCAACCUUUUUUUGUUGUUGUUCCGGGUGUCUGUGCAGCCCGGUUUCCCAAAUCGGCCCCCCGAUUAGUACCACGCCUGGGAACCGCCGCACUAGUUGGAAAAGUGUGCGUGUUGUUCAGGUCAAGUAGCUUCACAAUGGGAACGGGCACUUGAUGUAACCGGCGGCGAGCGACUCGGUGAUGGAUGCGAUGCGUUCGUAGGCUCAUCUGAAGCAUCUGGAUCGAAUUGUUGACAAGAAAGGUUUCUGGAACGGUUUCAGGUAACCUCGCCGCACUCCUCCUGAGGCUAAUUUCCUCCUUCGGGCCAAGUGCCAAAGACUGGCCUGAGUUAGCCAAGGAAACAUUGUUUCUGUUUUGCUUUGGGCGUGCCAGCGAAGUGAGCGAGAGAGAAACAAUCUCUUUAGAAACAAUCGCUCAGGACGCUCAUCCUCCAAGUUGAGUAAACUCCAGCAUCUUGUUGGCUACCCGGCCUCAAUAAACUGGCAAAUUUUCCGGCUUUCGAGGUAUAAAAGGGCCGAAAGAUAGAUUAGGUGUUUGAUCGACUAGUCGACUAGUUGACUUUUUGACUGUACUGUAUAUGUUUCCAAGAAGCUGCGUCGACCGUGUACAAAAUACCCCAACGCUUCUUUCCCCGAAACAAUUGUUGCUGUUGGACAAGUACUCUAUAGGUGCAGUAUUGAAUGAGUAAAUAUAUUUACUUAACUGCGUUAGCAAAGGAAAUAAGUCUGUUUUCCUGUGGAGAAGACGACGAUUUAAAAAAUACCAAAUGAGAAGCAGUUUCUCCGGCAAAUAAGGUGCUUUGAGUGUCGCUCACUUGUUGAAUGUGAGCUGAUUGUGGGGAUAUGAGUGGAGGUAUUUUCCCAUGCAGUGGGGGUCUGCGGGGUGGGGGUUUACCAGUGACCUCCCCGUCUUCCUACCCCCACCGUGUGCCCUACAUUAAGCCAAGCAAUGGACCAUCUGCCGCGAGGCCUAUUGUCCUGACUGUUUCCAGUCUUCCUCUUGUUUGGAGGCCUCCGUGGCGUGCCUAAAUUGGGCUAAUCUCGGAAUUUGGGUUGAACCAGAGCAAGAGGACUUUUGUACCGGGUCGCACCCAUGGGACACAUGGAAAAUUAUUUUUAGAAGUUGAUCUGACCCAAAAGUUUAGUAUCUUGAUCAUCGUCUUUCCUACAUGCUCGGGACAGGACAGUCGUUUUAGCCGCAAUCCGUCGGCCGAUGAAAUUUCAUCCCGAAAACGUAUUAAGACCUCGCCACUUAACCCAGCCCCAGAUUACGCACGGGGGAGGGUGGAAGUCGAUCAGAGUUGUUAUUUGGAAUCCGACGUCGUUGUGACAAUCGUAAAGCGCUUAGUUGAAAACGCAGCUAAAGACGAGGUUGGCUCAAUCGAUGGCUGGCACCGGAGCGUUUGAUCUUCUCAGCUGUUCGCAUUUAUUUCCGCAUUCAUGCCACAGAGCUGACCGCCGCCCAUGACUGUGCGAUUAUCUGCAACUCUGGAGAUGUUCCUGGGUCUUCCUCCGAUCCUCUUUGACGAGUUGGCUGUGGGUUGGGCAGAUGUUCAGAUCAUGUCUGUUUACUCUCAGGCCGAUUUAAGCCCGAAUCCUUCUGUUUGCCGGAAAGUGAACUGGAAAUUGCGAGUGAGGUCAGUUGAUGGCUCUUAAAAGUUGAAAUACUCCGCUUUGGCAACCCACGAAAAUAUAAUUACAAAUAUUUGCAGGGAUCCACGGGUUCUGUGAGAGUUCCAUUCCUGCGAAGUCAAUAUAUAUAUAAUAAAUGUGAUUUCCUCAUUUGGGAAUACACAAAGGAAUAAAUAAACACUUCUGAGACAGUCCAGUCGCCUACAUUUUACUGACAUCUGAUUGUUCUGUUGGAGCUACGCUCGAGGAAAUGCCAAAAUAAAUUCUGUAGAGGGGGGGAGGGCUAUAGAAUUUAUUUUGAGAUUGCCUGCGAUUUUUCAAUUUUCGUAGUUUCGUUGAAGUAAUCGUUAAGUUUUUCGAAGGCGGCCAUGAACGCCUCUCGAGUCGAACGAAAGGAAAGUAGCUCCAUCUAGUGGAUGCAUUGUAGAUUGCGUCUUAUAAUCCAGUGUGUCCAAUGUAUGAAAAAAAAUUACAAAAUAGUCCAUUCAUUGAAGUUGCGCCUCACAAUCCAGUGCGCCUUUGAGUGUGGGAAAUACUCAGCCACACUUGCUGCCCAUCUUUAAAAUUCGCCUCAAAACUCACUUGUAUUCUUUGGCAUUUGACUUAGCAUGACUCUAAUUUGAUCUUAGCUUUACUGUUUGGUCCUGAUUCAUCUUUGUUCCUGAUUUAUUGCUUUACUGAUUUAUUAUAUGUUGCUUGCUCCAUGUACAGCACUUUGUAUGCAGCGAUGGCAGUUUGAAAGUGCUGGAUCGUCGAUUUACGAACGCCACAGGUUUAUGAACAAAAUCUUUGAAGAAAAAUGACCUCGUUCAUGCAUGUUUUUUGGUUUUUGAACAGUUUUGGAAUGGGAGGCUCAGCUAUGUGGGUUUUUUUUCUCGUGCCGAGUCAACAUCAGUGGCUCCGUGCGUCACACAUUGCAAGUAUCUGUUUAUUUGCUCUAAAUUGGCUCAGUAUGGAUCGAAAGAAAGUGAAAACUGUUGAAAAAAAGGAAUAAUGGCUAAAUAUUAGGGUUUAGUUUGCUUUGCCAAAAUCUACCAUUUGGUACUACUCAAAAAAUAUUAAGAAUGAACUGUUUUCGCUUGUAAAAACAAGUUCUGGGUUGAAACAAGAACCCCUCUGUAUAUCGUGAUCAAAUUUAACACCCGACAAUGUGUGUCCAUGAAUGUUUUCAACGGAGACUAUCUCAAAGCGAUUCGAUCUGACUGGCGUGUGAACUCCACGUGCCAACGCUUGACGCGAUCCGAAUCUCAGCCCGUUUCUUUUGACGACUCCUCGGCAAAUGUACGCGACGCCUUGGCGGUAUUUCAUCUUGAUCUGAAAUUAAUUAACGGAGCAAAAUGUCAAGCCAAGAGGCGUGUUUUUAUUUAUUUAUUUUUUAUUGUACAGUGUGCGAUCCUCGCCGUCUUUGCAUGGCUCGCCGACAAAAGGGAAUCAAAGCGGGGAUGUGGUCGCUCUUCAACGUGCCAUAGAGCUUGUGUGUGUGUGUUUUUUUUGUUUUUUUUUUCUUCCCUCCCCUUCCCAGUGUGAGGGCUUCAACGUUAAAAGGAUUUCAAGAGUGCGAUUGGUAUCUCUGCCCAGAGUGCACUCACUUAAACCCCUUAAGGAGAUAGAACAGCGUUAAAGGGCACAUUGAUAAAAGUGUCCUUGCGGGGGGCGGCGGGGGGGGGGGGGGGGGUUCCGGUCUCCUCGGAGAGGUGAUGGGAAGAUCCAAAGGAGCUACAAAGCAAGAAGCCCCCCUCCCUCUUCCCAAACCCCGUCUUUUUUUUUUAGCUUGUUGCUAGGAUACGGUGCCCGUCUAUUCAGUAUUAUGGGGUGCGCUUCAUUGGCCCCUGUCUUCGCAGGCGAUAUUGUGAAGAGUCUAUUUGGCGACAGUAUGAAACGAGUGGUGUCCAAAACUGGCCCGUGGGCCAUUUGUUGUGACGUAGACUAAAAUUGGACACAAAGCUAUCAAAAUAAAUAAAAAAAUGUUCACAUUGAAAAGUUGUUUGCGAGAUCCGUGACUACCACGACUCAUUUGAAUAAAAAAUUAUUUUACUCUUAUACCAUGAACUGCCGCAGGUUUGCCAGUCAGGAUUCACAAAUUUGUGGACUUGUAUCGACGUAAGAGGAAUAAUCUAGACAGGCCAAAGCACAGGUCUCAAAGUCAAGGCCCGGGGGCCAGAUCCGGCCCGCCACAACAUUUACGUGGCCCGCGAAAGAAAAUCAAGAGUGUCAACUUGCAUGAUCCUCGCGAAAAUCUGUACUGAAAUGUGAAAUUGUCAUGUGUAAUAAAGGUCAUUGAGAUUUUGCAAUAAUUGAGUUACCCUGUUGACGACAACCAACAAAACCAAUAGCUGUUUUUAAAACGCGUCACAAGGAAGCAGUAACAGCUCCGAUGAAGGCUGAAGUGACAGCCGAAACCCUCAGCCAGAUAAGUUCUAGUUGGAUACGGGGCCGCCGACCACCCCAAAAUCCUGAAAAUGAUUUGCCUUGUUAUCAUCAGGAACAAAAAGCAGAUUUUAAAUAAUUAUAUGUAUAAAACAAAAAAAAGUUACUUGAUGGUAUUUGUUUUAGCACGUGUAAUGAAUAAAAAUUGAAGAACGUAAUUGUUUGCUAUUUCUGUCCUCCACAACGGGGAGAGUUGGGACACCUAAACGGAGAAUAAACGGAUUUCGAAGCCGCCAUGUGCUAACGCUUAGCGGCUCUUCCAGGCCCGGAGAGAUGACAAACGUUUAGAUGUGGACUUAAACGCUAGCCGGCUGGAAACUUCUGGAGUUACAUCACAAAGAAAAAAAAACCCCACCAAGUUCUGUGACGGACAGCACCCACCCCUUCCCCAACCCCCUUCGGUUAUAUUCAACACAGAUGUGGCAAAAAAUGGAAAAGCUGACAGACAUGUUUUUGCCAAACCCGUAUCCGCGUUCUAUCGUCUACCAGUGUAGAAGAAAUGCAUACAGAAUGAUGUAGAAGUUGCGGGGCGGGGGGUGGGGGGGAAUUCAGGCGCUUCUGUGGCUUUGACAUUUGUUUUACUUCCAAGCUUGAUCACAGAACAAAUUAAAUCCACAAAUCGCAGUACUAGCAUAAUUCAGUAUCGGUUGUUGGCGGGGCUGUGCGUGAAUCGCCGAUGACUCGGACUGAGAUGUGAAUUGGCCCGAAAAAAAAUGAAUGCUCAAUCAGAAUUUUCAGAUUGGAUUCAGAACGAAUCGUAGCAUAUUUUCGCAUGUUCUAGUGUCAUAGAAAUGUUUUUUUAAAGUUACUGUAAUGAGGGGUUUGGUGACAAGAAAAUGCAUACAACAUCCUUCUUGUUUAUGAAAUAUGAGAACUAAGAAAAUUUGGUCCAGAUUUUAGCAUGCAUCAUAGAAGUUGAUGUUUGAUUUAUUCUGGCGGACCACUUAAAAUGAUGUGGCGGACCAAAUUUGGCCCGCUGGCCUUGAGUUUGACACCUGUGAUCGAGUCAGUCUCUUAACGUCUUUGUCUGUAGUUUGCUGUUGGCCUCUGACGCUGUACCUAACACGAAGAAAGUUUGCAAAUUUGAACGUUGUUUAGUUUAGCGCUAGCUAGCUGGUAGGACAGAGUACGGAUAGAUUUAAAACAUUUCCAAAUCCGGACAAAAAAACCCCACUCUGAGUUAUUAUGCUGUUGGCUAGGGUACAGCGACAGAUCCUGGAAGUUUAAAUUCGUUAUUCUAAAGUGAAACGGAGAACCUUUCCAUAAGUUGUCGCGGCUGCGUUAGCGCAUGACCAUUCUAAUCAGUUUUCAAAAAAAGUAAAUGCCGAGUCUUGUUAAAUCGCUUUGGACAACAUACGGUGGAGAUAAAACGCCACAUAAGUGCACUCAGUUUAGGAUUAAAAUAGAUUUUUAUUGGGACGAAGACCCAUUCGAGAGGAUUCUGAGCUCGCUGUUACGGUAAAUGAAAAGCAAACGCAGAUUUUAGGUGUGCGUCUGAGCUCGAGUUGUCCGUCUCACGCACGGAGCUUCGUUUCAUCUUGGUUUCAAGUUUUUGGAUUUUCUUUGUCCUCAAUGCCUCGAAACACACAAAAGCAAUUUUGGAAAAUAGCAGUGCACCUGCAGCAGACAAAAAAAAAAAAAAAAAAAAAAAGCAAACUACAGAGGCUUCAUACUUUCCCCCGCACUUCCCUCUUCCUGUUUUCAUCAGAAGUAAAUAUUUCAAUAGAACCAUGCGUUUUAUCUCAGGCCUUUCCAGUUUUUUUUUAAUUUUUUAUUUUUUUUACAUCAUUGCCUCUGCGAGGCGUAUGUAUUUUUUAGCAGGCAGCGGCGCUCACGCACGUCGUAACAGCGAUCGUCAUGUCAAGCCCAAAAUAGAAAGCCGGCGAAUGACUUCACGGGGACCGACAGUGUCGAGUCGUGCAGUGAUUGCGCAAUAGGACAAACACGUCACACACAUUCCAGUCCGAUUUUAUUUUUUUCUUUUCUUUAAACAAACGCCACGCCUGAUCCGAGGCCGCGGCGUUUUCUCGUCGGCGGACUGAUUUACAGCGUGCAGUUGAGUUAUAAGCCGCCACUCCCCAUCCAAGUCAUUAUCGCAAGGCCUCGCUUGUUUUCAGUGUUCUGGUCGGAACCUUUUAAAUUAUCCCGGAAGCGAGUUGACAGGCAAUUUCGAGGAAAGCGAACACAACGCCUUGUCGUUAUAUGGCAUUGUAAAAAAAAGGAGAAAAAAAAGCCGUUGUUAGGCAAGUCACGCAUGUGUCCGUGAUUGUCGGCUGACCUCUUCGUGUACCAAACGUGACAUGACUCAUAUAGUAAGAUAACAAAUAUCAACUCCUCCUUUAGCUGUCAUUGCAGUUGGUGGACUUUCAUACAACCCAGAUGUGAAGUAUGUCUCCUGAAUGUCACCUGACUUCAACUCGACUUUACAUUUUUAUCUUGACAGGUUUUUUUAAAAGCACACCGCUAUAAUUCCCCACAUGAACUUUUUAUUCAUUUGAAAAUAUGACUCUCGUGCAUCAUUCAGACUCUGUAAUUGUUCUUUAGUGUUAACGUGACUGUGAAAGCUUGUUUUCUAAAUCACUGGUGUCAAACUCAAGGCCCAGGGGCCGGAUCUGGCCCGCCACAUCGUUUUUUUUGUGGCCCGCGAAAACAAAUCAAACAUGUCAACUGACAUGAUGCUUGCUCACAUCUGCACCAAAAUUCAUAUUCUCACACAUAAUAAAUAAUUAUACCGUAUUUUCUGCACUAUAAGGCACACUGAAAAGUCUUCCAUGUUCUUAAAAGCUCACAGUUCGCCUUAAAAUCCGGUGCGCCUUGUGUAUGGUCAUUACGGUAAUAUGUUGACCCCAAAAUGUCUCCUUGCUGGAGACAUGUUUACAAUAUUAUAAUGUUAUAUGCUUUAUUAAAUACGUUUUUGUUGCAGAUCGGGAAAAAAGGAGAGCUGUGGUGUUGUUUCUUUUUUUAAAAACACACACUUGGUUGGUUGGUUUUCACAAAUGGUCUCAACAAAUGCAGUUACUUCUUUGUCCAUCUCUUCUUCCGUUCGACUCGAGAGGCGUUCAUGACCGCCUCCGAAAAACGUAAAUUAACGAUUACUCCGAUGAAACUACAAAAAUUGAAACGAAUGCAUCAAAACGGAAAAUCAAGCGAGGAAAAUAAAUUCUGUCGGGGGCCUAUAGAAUUUAUUUUUAGAUUUCCUCCUUUGAUUUUAAGUUUGAUGCAUCGUUUUCAAUUUUCAUAGGAAGGAAUGUAGCUCCAUCUAGUGGACGCAUUGUAGAUUGCGUCUUAUAACCCAGUGCGUCCAAUAUAUGAAAUAAAUUACAAAAUAGUCCAUUCAUUGAAGGUGCGCCUCAUAAUCCAGUGUGCCUUUUAGUGCGGAAAAUACGGUAAACAUUUUUCUUGUUUCCAAACCCCUCAUUGCAGUAACUUAAACAACAGUUGAAUAUUUAUAGUCUUGACUUCUUAGUAUGGUUUCAGUCAUCACGGCCAACGGUAACUAAAACCUGGCGCGUGACAAAAAUGGGUUUGACACCCCUGGUCUACAUGCACCCUGUGAUUGGCUCGUCACCAGUAACCCCCCCCCCCCCCCCCUUCCACCUAUCACGCAAUGUAAGCUAGUAUUGCCAUCCCAAUGACACACAAGCAAUAUAGAAACAAACAAAACGUGCGCACAACCCGAUGUGGAGAACACGCAAACUCCGCCCUGAAUCUCAGCCAGUGGGACGCUAGGCAAGCUAGCGUAUGUUUCUCCCCGCCUCCCCCGUGCUAAUCUGCAGCUUUUAUCAUAAGACGAUUAGAGGAUUGAUAACCCUCCAUUAAAUGAAAAAAAUAAUAAUGUAUUGCCUGGAGCCGGUACUGGUCCAUUUAGCCAUCUUUAAUCUUCUACUUUACAAGCAUGAAUUCAAGUCAAAUGUCAGGUAGGAAUAAUACUGAGGACUAGUCGCAGGUUCUGCAUUGGUACAAUCCACUGAGUCCCGAGUGGGACCACCUGCUGUCCCCGGGUUCUUGCUAUCCUUGCCGCUAAUGCGAGCUGACGCAGCGUCUCGCCAAGGGCAUCUGGCAGACAACGGAGGCCACAAAGUGUCUGAAUCCCACCACGCGCGAGUUUUAUUCGGUGUUACCUCAAUUGUGCCUUUUGACCUCUUAAGGCCUCGUUGAAGGCAAUAAACUGUUUUGUACUGCACCGUAACCUCGGCCCGCGAUGAUUUUAAUCAUUAAGUAAUCUGUCAAUUGUUUUGGCAAUACAUUUUGGAUUCAACAUUUUAUCGUCCAUCAAAAACAAGACAUUAUUUUCAAACGGCAGAAAAUGUACAAAUGUAAAGGAAUUAAGAUCCCGUUCCUCGUUGGGUCCGUAAAAUGCCACCAAAUGGGCAAAAAUUGUUUUCCGAAGUGAAAGCAGAUGUUUGCAAACUCUCCAUCAGCACAGAGAUAAUAAGUCUGGCUUUUAUGCAGAGUGACAGAAAUUUGAGCGCUGUGAGGCUUUGCGCAAUUGUAAAUCAAAGUAUCUCAACAAUGCGCGAAUUUAUUGAAGCAUGAUAUCGCUGAGUCCUUGUCGUGUAUCAGCCUUGAGAGACAUUUUUGUUUCGCGACGUGUCCUUAUACUUCGCUCAUCGUGUAAAAUAUAUCCCUUGGCUCAGCAAAGAUCUCCAAACAUUCCGCCAUCCUUUGCCACAUGUGUGAGGUUUCAUGUAAAACAAAUGCGCGCGUGCGCUGCGGUUUGAGGAUCCAGCUGCGGCGUCUCACCCUCCUGCAGAAUUUCCACGGCAAAGUAACAUUUGCUCCUCUGGGGGUGGGGGGUCGUUUAACUUGAACAUUGCGCUCUUGAAAAGUCUCCAAAUUGUCGAGGGCCCACCUCUUCGGUUGGGAGGAUGCAUGCAAGCCCAAGUAUCUCCGUACAUAAGCGCCCCCACCGUGAAAGUCAUAAAACGACCCCCACCCCCCUCCCAACAAUCUGACGACCGCGUGAUGGGGUAUCACUGAGGUCUGCAGUAAUGAAAUUAGCACUUGAUGAGUUUCCAUUAGGGUUUAUGAGGUGUGUGUGUGUUUGUGUGUGUGUGUGUGUGUGUGAGGGAGAGACAACGUCCUGCUGGUGUCUUCCAUUGCGGUGAUUCGGGGUGGGCUAACCAUCUGGCGGUAAACCUUUAGUCCCACUCGCUAAUGGAAUUUGUCCCCCCCUUUAGUGAUGCGUGUAUAUGAACUGUACGUGUGUGUGUUUGCGCGCGCGGGUACCAGCUUCGCUAAUAAAACUAAUGCUUACGGGUCUGAGGUCUGACAUAUCUAAUUAGAGGAGAGAGUUCCGAUUAGAUUGUAUGUUGAGUUUUUUUGAAAGGUUUCUCAUUACAGUAACAUCAAGGCUAAUUUCCGUCAGACCGUCGCAUUAUGUUAGCAUGAAGCUGAGGGACUUUUGCGGCGCAAAAAUAUACAGCAAUAAAUCUUCAGAUGUGGUCUCCCACAAUGUGUGUGGCGCUUGUUAAAUUCAAUUGUGUGGAAUGUGUUAGUUUCAUUGUAAACUUCAGUUUAAAUAUUUUAAUGCGUUGAAAGCCGGCUGGAGGGAUCAAACUUGAUAUAUGAAAAUUUGCAAGCCGGUUAGUUGUGAAAAUUUCUCCCCUGUAAAGAGUCCCUGGACCUAACGUGUUGACUACACACACAUUAUGCUACAGCAGGGGUGUUAAACUCGUUUUUGUAACGGGCCACAUUAUAGUUACCGGUUCCCUUGGGGAGCCGAUAUGACUGCGAAACUGUAUAGAGAAGUCAAGAAUGAUUGUUUAUUCAACUAUAGUUUAAAUUACUGUCAUGAAGGUUUUGGUAACAAGAAAACUUACACAAGCUCUUUUAUGAAUUACAUACGAGAAUUCGAAAUGUUGGUCCAGAUUUUAGCAAGUAUCAUCGAAGUUGACAUGUUUGAUUUGCUUUCGCGGACCACAUCAAAUGAUGUGGCGGGCCAGAUCUGGCACCCGGGCCUUGAGUUUGACACCUGUGUGCUAGACACAAUGUACAUUGUACAAUGAGUGCAAAAUGGAAUUAUUUAUUUAGUUAUAUCCAAUGACAUCCUGGUGAAAUUAAAUGCACCGCAGUGCUGCGGCCAUGUUAUCGUAGAGCGACGUUGAAAAUCUCGGCCGGGUGUAAACUAUCCCAAUCCUGUCAUCAAAUCAAAGGCACUGCCCUAAAUUUUCCUAAAAUGUCUGCAAAUGUCACCCUGGCCUCCAGGCUGCUUGAUGAGGCCUGUUUUGUUUCGUUCGGCAACAUCCUGUGAUAUGUCACUCGCCGCUCCGGAUUUUUUUGGGUGCCGUUAGCGAAACAGUGAACCCUAGUUUAAAACGGACCCACAAAACAAUGACAACGUAGAAGAGGAAGCGCCGCAUCUUCUAUCUCCGGAGUUGGCGGUGUUGUUUGAAAGUGACACAGAGGGUGAAAAUUUCAUUGGAUUUAGUGAUUUGGAGUGACACUGAUGGUUUGGUUAACUUGGUUAGCAUGUUCUUCAUGCUCUAGUUAGCGGAAUAACUCUUAAUGUUACGUGAAGAUACCCCGUUCUCAGUUCGUUGUUUCUGCGUCAUGUAACAUUAGCAUAUCGUACACUUAUUCAGCGCGUUGUUCUCUAUAUUAUUUUAUUUUUUUUAUUACCUUUACCAAAUGACAUGUCUGUUCUUUGUGUUGGAUUUUAUCCGAUUAAUUUCCCGUAAAAAUACGACUUGCACUGCAGUGCGACUGAUAAAUGUUUUUUUCUUUAUUAUUUUUUAUGGCUAGUGCGACUUAAACUCCGGAGCGAUUUAUAAUCCUAAAAAUACGGUACUCAACAAGCAUCGGAGCAAAAUGACUAUGACUGGACCAACGGUUUAAGCACACCUCCCACCCUGGUUUAGUUGGUAAACGCACCAAUCAGUGAAAUAUUUUCUUCCAGUUUGAUCUUUUAAGUCCCACUGCUCACUUGGGGUCUAUUUCAAGGGAAAAGGUUCAGACAAGAUCAGACAAUGUCAGGAAUGCUCGGCAGCUCCGAUCAAAGUGUGGGAAGAAAGAAAGAAAGAAAAGAAAGAAAACAAGUGGUAUUGGAUGCGGCUCUCGUGUGUCUUGGCUCAUGACGGCGUUAAAGCAACAGUGGCAGCAGCGUUUGAGGCCCCCCGAGUUGGCCUGUCAGGUCACGUAUGUUCCCCAACCGCCAGGAAGUCGGCGGCGUUUAUGUAACUUGACUUUUCUUUUCUUUGAUCUUUCACGCACAUACACGCUUGAUGUUUCGUAAGUAUUUCGGUCCGGUGAAAUCGGCCAUCCAGAGACCAUUAUGAAAAAUAGUUUGUGCUCCUUCCCACACUCUUAAAACACAUUUUACAAUUUCGAAAACACUUUUUAAAAAGUGUUCCGUAGUGCGUGUUCUCAUUUUUUUCGCUCUCGAGAAAGGGAGACUGUUGUGUAACACUUUGAGGAGCACGGUUGCUCAGUUAAUUAUCCCAUUCAGAAUUUGAACGCGUUAGCUUCAAGUUAGUUUCUCACUCAUUGUUUAGCUUCUGCGUCAAACUGACGUAUAAAAUAGAACAGAACUGAACUAAUUGACAGUUGAAAAACAUUCACCCCAAACAUAUUGUGUCUAAAAGAAAGGCCGCUAGCUUAAAGCUAACCUUUUAAUGUGAAACACUGUAGACGGGCUAACAAAAAUUAGCAUUAGUGUCAGGGUAAUUUAAAACCUUCAGUUAACGACUAACUAACUAGCGACUUUGACAUUUAUGGAGCAGUAAAACAUACAAACUGAGCAUACAGGAAUAUUUAUAGGCAUAUAUAUUAUUACCAAGUCAACAUCCAUGACAUUGUUGGAUUACAGUAAUGGCACAAAGUUCUGUUGAAUCACUCUUGUUGAUAGUUGUUUCCGACAAGCUUCUGCUUAGUUUCAUGUCACAGCAAAUAAAAAAUACUUAACAUCAAAUAAUAAAAUAGUUUUUUCAAUCGGCCUACAAAGUUGAUCAAAUAUUCUAUAAUAGGUAGCCAUUAGCAUAUAGCGCUACAUGCAUGCUUCAACAGUCUUUGCAGGGCGGGGAGGGGGCGGGGGGGUCAGCGGAAGGCUACGGAACUGGGCCAGCAUCCGUCCAAUUUGAGCCGAGAGUGACGAGCAGCCGUUACGCAAUCUCCUCUUGGUCUCCGGCCGCCAAUUAGUGCACUAAUAGCGCCGCCGAUGCGCCGUUUCAUCCGUCUCAUCGGAGGGGGGGGUCAGAGCUCCGCAUGACACAAGGGAAUUGUUCCAUCGGGUCUCAUCAUUGGGGGACCUUUUGUCCUUUUCCGCCGGGGGGGAAAUGUAAUCAAAUGUGCUGAUGAGAAACCGUUUUCAUUUCAGCGAUACGGACUGAGCCUCUAUUCAUAGUUUCAACCCGAACUAAUCACAAACUGUAAUCCCAAAGUAGACAGAGACCUUUUUGUUGGCUGAGUUGUACCACAUACUUCCUUGUCACAAAUGUACUACUUUUCCACGAGGUAGCGAUUAAUUGAUGUGGCUGGAACGAAAAAUGUCACUGAGCAAUUGUCAGGGGUCCCACGCAUCCCAUUGGCCGGGAGCGGGAUACUAAAUGUAAAAAAAAAAAGCCUUUGAGUGCUUGUACUUAGCCGGCAGUGUUUUCGCCACCUUAACCGUGCGCUCUUUGACUCUGCUUACAUAAGCAUGACCUCUGCCAGCUCAGCGCCGCUCUCUUUCAAAAACGCAAGCGGCCCGCUAUUCAGAUUUAUGCAAAUGAAGGGGGAAGGGCGGGGACCUUUGGGCGCUGACGCCAUGGCAACGCGUGCUGGAAUGAGGCUGCUGGAAAUUGAAGCUUUUGUUUAUCGCGACGUUCGCUGGCUGAAAGUGGUGACCCCGAAGAAAAUAAAUAUCACUUGAGCACUAACGCGGUCAGUCGCAAUCAUUUCGCCAGAGAUCAUUUGAAUCCAACGGUGACAUCUUUGUUCACCUAUUUAUGCCGGUGACAUAUACUGUAAUCCCCGCCUCUUUGCGUUUUUUUUUUUUUUGUAACGCUCUCAAAUGCAACAAAAUGGCGCCGCAGCCCUGGCUCAUAGGAAAGUAGUAUUUUUUGUCAAUGCAGUAUUUUUUGUCAAUUCCCGAACGCUCACACAACAGAUUAAAACGAGCAAAAGGGUUUUAUUAUUCAUAUAAAUUUUAAAAUGAACAAAAACAUGCAUGUGAGGUGCAGGUCUUAUUUUUGUCCACUUGGGGUUGCCAUCCAUCUGUGACUUUAAAUGCAUGUAAUGAUCGAAAGGGAGACAGACGCUUUGUUUAUUGAAGCGCCGGCAAGUUUAGCGUGUGUUGUUAAUGGAAGUAUGCUUGUGCAUUUUCUUUUUUUUUUCCUAAAUCAAAUCUUUGAUCAGUUUUGUAGGCCGAGUUUGCAAUAAUAUGACCUGUAAAAAAUGCUCCGAUCGAUCGGCCAUGGAGUUGAUGAGCUUCAUUGACUCGGCGGCGUCAGAUCUCAUCCUUCCAACUGACAAGAGCGUUCCCGCUUCGCGUUGUGUUCCUUCCCUCGGUGAACGCACGUCUGCAUCCUGAGAGGAGAAGAGCAAGUGUUGCGGCGUCCCUUAGUCAAAACAAACAAAUAGCUCCGAGCAAUCCGUCGCUAAUCUAUCUUGCUGUGUAAAUAGCCAGCCCAAAGGCGCACACGGCCGCGCACGCACGCACAAGGGCAGUAAUUAAGAUUGUGGUGCAAAUAUAAUCCCCCCGCAACACCCCCCCCCCCCCCCCCCCCCCCCCACGGGUUUUGAUGUCGCGGGAUUAAAUCCAAACGGCCUCCAUAUUGCUGUUCUUCCAGCCUAAUCAAAAGAUUAAGGCCACAUCGCACUCGGGGUCCACUAAAUAUCCACGCAGCCGUAAGUUGAAGUCAAGCUACUUUGAGUGCUCGCCGAUACCAAGCACAGAUACUUGAUGAUGCCAUUUCUUCUUGUUGUGAUGAAAUGGGUAUAUUUUAACCAUCGAUUAAUAAAUCGGCUGAUUACAUCGGCAAUUUGUGACAUUUCAUUUCAUUUCACCGAGGAACUUUGCAAGUAGGCGGCCCGGUAGUCCAGUGGUUAGCACGUCGGCUUCGGAGUGCAGAGGUUCGAUUCCGGCUCCGGCCUCCCUGUGUGGAGUUUGCAUGUUCUCCCCGGGCCUGCGUGGGUUUUCUCCGGGUGCUCCGGUUUC